GAUCAUUAUUGAAAUAAACCUGAUGAGUUGCUGCUGGUUUCUCUAAGGGACAUGUGCACACUUGUUCAUCUUUAUAUCCCCACCUGUGCAUCUUUUGUAGACCUGGAUAUCUCUCUGAGUGCUUGUACUUCAGGUUUGAGGAUUGACUUAUUUAAUUAUUGUCUCUCCUUACAUUUCCAGGCCUAUGUUUCUCCAUAUACCCCCAAUCUAUGUUAUAGAAUGUAAUAAAUGGGCCUUCGUGCCUAUAAACCUUAUACAACUUUCAGCAACGGAUCUCUUGGCUCUCGCAUCGAUGAAGAACGCAGCGAAAUGCGAUAAGUAAUGUGAAUUGCAGAAUUCAGUGAAUCAUCGAAUCUUUGAACGCACCUUGCGCUCCUUGGUAUUCCGAGGAGCAUGCCUGUUUGAGUGUCAUUAAUAUAUCAAUCUCUUCAGCCUUUGCUUGUUGAGUGUUGGAUGUGGGGGUUAUCUUUUUGCUGGCUUCUCUCCGAAAUCAGCUCCCCUGAAAUGCAUUAGCGGAACAUUUUGUUAACCGUUCAUUGGUGUGAUAACUAUCUACUCUAUUGACGGGAAGCAGUUUGGCUUCUAAUAGUCCAUUGACUUGGACAAAUUUUUAUUAAUGUGACCUCAAAUCAGGUAGG
rnacentral:rRNA from 1 species